CUCGCCCGCGCAGCCCCGGCCGCCGGGCGCACCCGUCCCGUUCGUCCCCGGACGUUGCUCUGGGCCCCGGGAGCGUCGAGACUGGAGCGCCCGAACGCAGCCACCUUCGCGGACCCGA
rnacentral:precursor_RNA from 13 species